rnacentral:lncRNA from 1 species
UUAUUUUAUGUUGCAGUUGCAGAUAAUGUGAACUGCAUCUCCCCUUUAAAUAUCAGAAAUUUGUGGUUUAGAUCUUGUUACUAAUAAUUUUAUUUUCUACUUGUAUCUGGUUUUGUCCAAUAUAUGCAAUCAUGGCUAAAUUUCUAUUGUUUGUAGCUUCCUUCCUUCCCAAAAUUUCAGUUUUCUCUCCCAAAUUUUCAGCUUAACUUAAAACUUUACUAAGAUAAUAGUCAAAUAAGAAGAAUUUACUAGUACUUACCAGUACUUUCUAUGGCAGGAAUCAUAUCAACCAAUUUAUUCAUAAUAUUAAUAAGUAUGAAUAAAUCCUGUCUUAAUCCUAUAAGGAAAGUAUUGAUUCUUACUUACUAUUUCAUAGAUUAAGAAGCCAUGCUCACAAAAGUUUCAGCAGUUUUCCUGAGACUAUAUAGUUUACAAGUGUUGCUAGUCUAAGCUUUAAAAUGAAAA